UAACUCACGUUUAUGACGUUACGUUAGUUACAUUAGGAACUAAACCAGCUGCUCUUGCAAGCAAACCGUACAGAAUAUGCAUAGUGGUCACUUGUCGUCGUGGUAAUUUGUUGACAGUAUUACCCAACAUCCCAUUAUGUCGCGUUAUAGAUUGGUGGCCAAGAAAAUGUUAAGAUAGUAAGUAGCAUUCAAAAAUCAAGAUUACAAUUAUAGAAAAGAGAAAAAUUGAAGUGGUAAGCUAGUGCAUGUCGCUAGUGGCACCAUUUUUGUAAUCACAAGUCAAACUCGGCGUUAUUUCAUAUAUGAACGAGGAAAGGAGGUCGGGAUUGGUAACAGCAACUUAGAUGGUUAUUGUCGAGCCUUCGACUUUAGUCGAAAAAGCGAGACUAAGACCCUGUUCACACUAGCAUUUUUUUGUUAUCGAUCUAAUUAAAACCAGUUAGCGUUCACAUUAUCUUUAAUCAUAUCGAUCACUAUCGGUCUAAUAUGAACCACUGCGUUCAUACUACAAUCAAAAACGCAAUCUAUCUAACCUUUUUGUCCGUAAAACUGUUAUAUAAAUAGACUGAACUGAUUUAUCAAAUUCAUGUACUGAUACACUGAUACACACACUUGGGAAAAAAAUUGGAUAAAGUUAUUGUUUCUCUUGAAUCACAAUUUAAAAUUUUGAUACUGGUGUUAUUGCAGUUUUCUUUAAUUUUGAAAAAAAAAAAAUAACUGUAGCAACAAAGUUACAACACGACGCCGGAAAUACUGCGGUUCCUGCAAAGAAAAAAAUUAACAUAAGAAAAGAAGACACAGAUUUCGCAAAUAUGGUGUUAUUGCAGUUUUCUUUAAUUUUGAAAAAAAAUAACUGUAGCAACGAAGUUACAACACGACGCCGGAAAUACUGCGGUUCCUGCAAAGAAAAAAAUUGACAUAAGAAAAGAAGACACAGAUUUCGCAAAUAUAUGCUAUGGCGAAGACAACAUGUUUACAGUUUGUUUUAAAGGUCUUUUAACAGAGAAAUAUGGGUUAAACAACGAACCUCUGAGAUAGUUUUGCCGCUAUACAUGCGCAUACGUUAUUUUCGAUUCAAUCGUACUAGUUUAAACCGAUAUCUGCGUUCACAUCUAAAGUAAGAUCGGUUUACUUUAGAUCGAUUCAAACUAAACUACCUCUUUUGGUGUUUUAGUUUAGACCGAUUGAAGAUCGAUUCAAUGCGUUCACAUUAGCCCUUAAACCGAUCUAAAUUGAACCGGUGUAGUUUAAAUCGAUAAAAAUGUCCUAGUGUGAACGGGAUCUAAGCGAUCCUAUAUUCCGUCGUAGUCGGUGUCGCCGUCGUCUUCGGCGGCGACCACAAAUAUUCACUCUGUGGUUAAAGUUUUUGAAAUUUUAAUAACUUUCUUAAACCAUACUGGAUUUCUACCAAUCUUGGACAGAAGCUUGUUUAUGUUUAUGAUCAUAAGAUAGUAUCCAUGCAGAAGUAAAUUUUGUGAAAAUAAAAUUCCAUUUUUUCCGUAUUUUUCUUAUAAAUUUUAUUUUGAUAACUUUCUUAUACUAUUUUUAAUUUGUAUCAAACUUGGACAGAAGCUUGUUUAUGAUCAAAAGCUAUAGUAUCUAGAAGGAAAUUUCGUUAAUAUUUUGUACCUGUGUAUCGGUAUUUUACUUAUAAAUGUACAUAGUUUUUCUUCCAGUUAACAUUACAUCCAGUCUCUGUUAAAGUUUUUAAAACAUUUAUUAGAUUCAUAAACUAUCCUGGAUUUUUACCAAACUUGGACAGAAGCUUCUUUCAAAGAUAGUAUCAAUAUUUUUAUUGAUGUUUUCCCUUUCAUUUUUGUUGAGCCUGCAAUUUACAGCAAAAGUAGGCGAGACACUGGGUUCCGCGGAACCCUUACACAUUUUUAUAUAUAGUGACAGCGAAAGACUGAGAUGAAUUAUUCUGUUUUAUCUGGGACUAUUAUACUAAGUAUAUAUUAGUAUAAUAGUCCCAGGUUUUAUUCAAACCUCAAUGUAGCUAACUUUAGAAAUAAGCUUACCAAUUUUUAUUUGAAAUAAAUAAUAAGAUGUGGUAUUAGUGCCAAUGAGACAACAUAUUUUGUUUUAUCAAUAUAUGUCUUCUUGUAAGUUUCCUCCUGUGACAUAAUAUUCAAUUUGUUGAAGGCGGUCACUAUAUGGUAGAAUAGAAUAGAAUAGAAUAAAAUUAAAAUUGAGAAUGGAAAUGGGGAAUGUGUCAAAGAGAGACAACAACCCGACCAAAUAAAAACAACAGCAGAGGGUCACCAACAGGUCUUCAAUGUAGCGAGAAAUUCCCGCACCCCGAGGCGUCCUUCAGCUGGCCCCUAAACAAAUAUAUACUAGUCCAGUGAUAAUGAACGCCAUACUAAUUUCCAAAUUGUACACAAGAAACUAAAAUUAAAAUAAUACAAGACUAACAAAGGCCAGAGGCUCCUGACUUGGGACAGGCGCAAAAAUGCGGCGGGGUUAAACAUGUUUGUGAGAUCUCAACCCCCCCCCCCCCUAAUACCUCUAACCAAUGUAGAAAAGUAAACGCAUAACAAUACGCACAUAAAAAAAUAUAUAUAUAUACGUUAAAUGAAUUUAUAUUAAGCAACCCAGAUGAAUUAUUCCGUAUUAUGGGCUACUAGCUAACGUUGGAAACAAACUUAACCAACUUUCAUUCAAGUUAUAUUUAAAAUCUUUUAAAUAAUUCAUAUUAAGCAAUAAAUAUGCAUUGUUUUGUUUUAUUUAGAAUUAAACUAACGUUGGAAUGAAACUUAACCAACUUUCGUUUAAGUUACAUACAAAAUGUUUUGAAUAAUUUACAUUUAUACUGGCCCGGAUUGACCUCUGACAUUUAAAAUUCAAUACUGUCCUCUAAAUUAUCCAACUUAUUUUUAAAUUGUAGACAAUCUGGCCAUAUUGAAAAUACUGUACGUGUGGAGUUCCUUGACGUCUUUACAAAGAACUGCCUCACAAAAGCCUAUAUUCACAGAACUGCUUAGAAGAUUACAACUUCCAAGACUUUAUUUG
rnacentral:lncRNA from 1 species